UACGUAGGGGGCGAGCGUUGUCCGGAGUUACUGGGCGUAAAGGGCAUGUAGGCGGUCUGCCAAGUUCGGAGUGACAGUCACCAGCUUAACUGGUGAAGGACUUUGAAAACUGGCGGACUUGAGAGCGAAAGAGGGACACGGAAUUCCGGGUGGAGCAGUGAAAUGCGUAGAGAUCCGGAGGAACACCAAAGGCGAAGGCAGUGUCCUGGCUCGUUUCUGACGCUGAGGUGCGAAAGCCAGGGGAGCGAACGGG
rnacentral:rRNA from 1 species